rnacentral:pre_miRNA from 1 species
GCGGCGUGCUGACUCCGUUCGUCGGAGAAGCAUGUUGCGGACCAGCGCCGCGUGCUUCCUCGUCGAACGGUGGCGACCACGUUGC